CAUAACCCUCGUUAGGUGAGGCUCCUGUGCGGGAGACAUGCUGAUGCCCAAAAAUGUCCAAAGACGCCAAUGGGUGAACAGAAACGGUCGACAUAAGGUCGUUUUUAAUGCAGCUGAGCCACUGGCUCUAUGCCCCACAGUGCUAAAGCUCUACGAAUGGAGGUUGAA
rnacentral:sRNA from 2 species